GACGUAGGGGGCGAGCGUUGUCCGGAUUCAUUGGGCGUAAAGCGCGCGUAGGCGGCCCGGUAAGUCGGAUGUGAAAUCUCACGGCUCAACCGUGGAACUGCAUUCGAAACUGUCGGGCUAGAGGCAGGUAGGGGAGAUCGGAAUUCCCGGUGUAGCGGUGAAAUGCGCAGAUAUCGGGAGGAACACCGGUGGCGAAGGCGGCUUGCUGGGCAGUAGCUGACACUGAGGCGCGACAGCGUGGGGAGCAAACAGG
rnacentral:rRNA from 1 species